AACCUUAUGGACCUGCGGGCGUAUACCUGCGGAGGGAUCAUUACCAUUCCGGUCUCUCGAGACCGCGCCUUCAACUCGCCGCAGGACUGCCAUGCAAGUGGCCAGGAAUGCGGUCGAGGCGAAAGCAAACCCUUGCCUAUGAGUACCUUUUGUUCCCUCGGCGGGCUCGCGCCCGCCGCUGGGCCCAACCAAACCCCUUUGCAGUAGCAGUACACCUCUGAUCGUGGGCAUUUGAAUCUU
rnacentral:misc_RNA from 1 species